rnacentral:lncRNA from 1 species
UCUAUCUCGAAAUGCUCUGUUGGAAGAAUCCAUCGUCAUCUCAAAUGGGCAAUCCACUAGGGAGUCUCAAGAGAGUAAUCCGCUAGGGUAACUACCACAAUCUCAUCAAAACAAUCUACUAUGGAGUCAUGGAUGGCAGGACAAUCACAACCUGAAUGUCAUGCUCCACCGAAAGCUCAUCUUGAUGAAAAUCACAGGAAUAGUGACCAGUAAAGCAUAUACAAUAUCUCUCAGCCGAGUGAUGAAAACUGUAACAGAUCUGUGAGAGAACGAUCAUCUCCAUAGCUAAAGGAAGGAAUAUACCCCAGGAUGGCAUCAGAUGUACCAUAUGCCCUGAUAACUCAAGAAUAACUCCAUGGGGAUGUAUAAAAGAUCUGACAUGUACUCCACUGAAACGGUGAUGUGGGAACCUAUGCACCUGGAGUAACUCCACCUAAGAAUCAUGACAAUAUCGGAAAAUAUGAGCCUGACUGAAAGACUCAAUAAAGGUUCCACCAGAGAAUCGAGACAAAAUGAAAUCGAAUCAUCAACCUGACGUGUAUCUCAUAACUAGGGAUGAUCAUGCAAAUCCAUGGAGAUCUACAAAUCUCAACCGAAAGGGCGAAUAUGGCCCAACAUGGCAUCGAAUGUGAGAUAGGUCAGAAAGAUCAAAUGACAUCAAAUCAUCAAUCAUCAACUAUGCAAUCCUGGUCACCCGAAUCCAUAACUGAAUCAUACCCACAAAUCCAAGAUGAAUCUCUCGGAUGAAGAAGCAUGAUGGCAUCUAAGUGCCGAGAAGUGCGGACUUAGCUGGAUGGCUCCCGGAUGCUCCACUGAAGAAUCAUCAUAAAAAUAGCG